CUCGCGAUAGAUCAGUUGGUAGAGCGGAGGACUGUAGAUCCUUAGGUCGGUGGUUCGAAUCCGUCUCGCGAGA
rnacentral:tRNA from 1 species